AAUGAGUCUCAAUGUUCAUUCUGUUGGAUAUAUACUGAGCUUAAUGCUUUUCAAUACAGAAUUUAUAAUGCAAGCUAGAAUUAAACAUAUAAUGAAGUCACUCGUUUUCUAGGUCAAAAAAAUAAUUUUUUUCAUGCAUUCAGUUCAGUAGCCUGUGAUAUAUUGUUGUAAAUAUUUCUUUUUUGUAAAAAAUAUUUUUGUAGUCCAGGAGCUAAAUGUGUAAAUGUUUAGCUUCUUAUCUGAUUUAUACAUGUAUGAAAAGAAGCCAUAAAGAGCAAUAUUUGAUUCUUUGCAAAAUUAGAUUAAUAGAAACUGAAGUUUCCAGUCAAGGAAUUAAUAUAUUGGUGAGUAUCUGUGCAUUUACAAUUUUAUAUACAUACAUAAAAUUAUAUACAUGUAUACAAUUUAUUGAUUAUUGAUUAUGUUAUUCAGAGUUGUUCUGGACCUGCAGAGAUAUAUUCUCUUAUCACUUCUGUACCAGAAACAUCUCAGCCCAUAUCUGGAGACCUCGAACACCCAGAAUCACAUCAGGACAGCACAGCAGAUCCCACAGACACUCACUCUUUCAUUAUGUCUGAAAAUUCAAUAUACCAGCCAUCAGAUGUUUUGGUCAACAAACAGAAACAGGGUAAUGCAGAGGAAAAUGAGAAUGUUUAUCACCUGUACUCCAUGAUCCCUGACAAACCAGUUCACUCAAACGCAGAAGAUCACGUGUACAGUUUGAUGAAGAUGCACUGAUGAAUCUCAUGUCUGUGUUCAUUAAGUAUAGCGACUAUAAAUAACAUGUCUUUACUUUCAGACAAAGCAGUAGUUGUUUAUUUUUUUAUUAUUCAGUUUUUAAUGUGGAAUAUACUGUGACUUCAUUGAAUAUCCAGAGCAUCUUCUCUGGCAAUCCCACUAGUACAGUACCACUAGUGUAGCUUGGGCAUUCAGUAAGACCUGAACUAAAAUUUUGAUGAUAAAUGAAAAUGUUUUACUUCUUUUCUGAUGAAAUUGAACCAUCUGAACAUUUGAACCAAAUCUUUUUUUCUUAUUAGUUUUCUGUAUUUUUUUUUUUUUUAAAUGCUUAAAUCAGUUUUUCAAGGUCCAUCAUGUGAUGUUAACUUCUCUUCCCACAAUACCCAGCCAAUUACGUCAGAGAUUUGUUUUGUUAGUAAUUCUGAAUGGUCUGUACUCUGUAUGUUUUAAGAAUCAUCCCCAAAGCUAAAGUAGAAUUUAAACAUUUAUCUUUUAAAAUGGAUUUUAUUUUAAAUGUUUCAGGCCUCUAAAGCUAUUAUAUCAGAUAUUAUUGUUCAUGCUCUGUGAUGCACAUAUAUUGUAUGUAAAUGUACACUACUUCCUAAUUCACCCAUUGUGUAAGACUCAUUCUGUCCAUUUUCUACAUUUACAUUUAUGCAUUUAGCAGACACUUUUAUCCAGGCUAACAUUUUUUACCUAACAUGUUCCCUGGAAAUCAAACCCACAACCUUUUGCGCUGCUAACGCAAUGCGCUACCACUGAGCCACAGGAACACCUCUCUGUAAUUGAGUUGUUCCUCAUAGUUUUUCUACUUUUUUUCUAGUUUUUUGUGGAGGUUCAGUCUUACAGUAAGUGAUCUCUGCUGUUUAUUUUCUUCUUAAAUAAUGUCCACAUUUAUAGGUAAAGUUUUAUUGUCUAAAAUAUUUCAGCAUGUCUGUUUGUUAUGUGUAAAGUUUUAAUAGAACUGAUAAUAGAAACACAUGAACUACCACCUGGCAUAUUCAUUUUACUAUAGAGACUAUUACUGUAGUAAGCCAAAUUUAUUUUUAUUUUAUCAUAUUGCAUGACAAAGGAUAAAACUAAAACACAGUAGCAUGUAGCAGACAGUAAAAAAGGCUAAAAAGACAAUAAAUAUGGACAAUAAAUACUGACA
ensembl:lncRNA